AGUGAACGCUGGCGGUAGGCCUAACACGUGCAAGUCGAACGGCAGCACAGUAAGAGCUUGCUCUUACGGGUGGCGAGUGGCGGACGGGUGAGGAAUACAUCGGAAUCUACUUUUUCGUGGGGGAUAACGUAGGGGAACUUACGCUAAUACCGCAUACGACCUACGGGUGAAAGCAGGGGAUCUUCGGACCUUGCGCGAUUGAAUGAGCCGAUGUCGGAUUAGCUAGUUGGCGGGGUAAAGGCCCACCAAGGCGACGAUCCGUAGCUGGUCUGAGAGGAUGAUCAGCCACACUGGAACUGAGACACGGUCCAGACUCCUACGGGAGGCAGCAGUGGGGAAUAUUGGACAAUGGGCGCAAGCCUGAUCCAGCCAUACCGCGUGGGUGAAGAAGGCCUUCGGGUUGUAAAGCCCUUUUGUUGGGAAAGAAAAGCAGCAGGUUAAUACCCCGCUGUUCUGACGGUACCCAAAGAAUAAGCACCGGCUAACUUCGUG
rnacentral:rRNA from 1 species